UACGGGGGGGGCAAGCGUUGUUCGGAAUUACUGGGCGUAAAGGGCUCGUAGGCGGCCAACUAAGUCAGACGUGAAAUCCCUCGGCUUAACCGGGGAACUGCAUCUGAUACUGGAUGGCUUGAGUUCGGGAGAGGGAUGCGGAAUUCCAGGUGUAGCGGUGAAAUGCGUAGAUAUUGGGAAGAACACCGGUGGCGAAGGCGGCUCUCUGGACCGAGACUGACGCUGAGGCGCGAAAGCGUGGGGAGCAAACAGG
rnacentral:rRNA from 1 species